AAUCCAUAGGUUAAUGAGGCGAACCGGGGGAACUGAAACAUCUAAGUACCCCGAGGAAAAGAAAUCAACCGAGAUUCCCCCAGUAGCGGCGAGCGAACGGGGAGGAGCCCAGAGCCUGAAUCAGCAUGUGUGUUAGUGGAAGCGUCUGGAAAGGCGCGCGAUACAGGGUGACAGCCCCGUACACAAAAGCGCAUGUGCUGUGAGCUCGAUGAGUAGGGCGGGACACGUGGUAUCCUGUCUGAAUAUGGGGGGACCAUCCUCCAAGGCUAAAUACUCCUGACUGACCGAUAGUGAACCAGUACCGUGAGGGAAAGGCGAAAAGAACCCCGGCGAGGGGAGUGAAAAAGAACCUGAAACCGUGUACGUACAAGCAGUGGGAGCACAGGUUUACCUGUGUGACUGCGUACCUUUUGUAUAAUGGGUCAGCGACUUAUAUUCUGUAGCAAGGUUAACCGUAUAGGGGAGCCGUAGGGAAACCGAGUCUUAAUUGGGCGUUAAGUUGCAGGGUAUAGA
rnacentral:rRNA from 1 species